GCUUUUGUGGCAAAAAAAAUUAUUGAUGAAUGGUGAGCGAGUGAAAAGACACACAACAAGUGAUGGGGGUUGCCCUAGAUGUAGUAGUGUGUUGGAAACGGAAUCCUGUGAUUGCCCAUUUGCUAAAUCAGUGUGGCUAUUGAUAAUUCCAACGCGAGUUUAGGGCUUUUUUUCUCUUCCGUUUGAUGAGUGGUUUCUUUGGAAUAUGCAAAAUAUAGUGAUUUCUG
rnacentral:lncRNA from 1 species